UACGAAGGGGGCGAGCGUUGUUCGGAAUUACUGGGCGUAAAGGGCGCGUAGGCGGCCCCUUUUGUCGCGUGUGAAAGCCCCGGGCUCAACCUGGGAAUUGCAUUUGAGACUGCAUAGCUAGGGUGCGGAAGAGGGAAGCGGAAUUUCCGGUGUAGCGGUGAAAUGCGUAGAUAUCGGAAGGAACACCAGUGGCGAAAGCGGCUUCCUGGUCCAGCACCGACGUUCAGGCACGAAAGCGUGGGGAGCAAACAGG
rnacentral:rRNA from 1 species